GCCCCCGUAGCUCAGCCGGAUAGAGCAAGCGACUUCUAAUCGCUAGGCCGCAGGUUCGAAUCCUGCCGGGGGCGCUA
rnacentral:tRNA from 1 species